rnacentral:rRNA from 1 species
CUACGGGUGGCACCAGUCGAGAAUCUUCCGCAAUGGGCGCAAGCCUGACGGAGCAAUGCCGCGUGAGGGAUGACGGCCCUAGGGUUGUAAACCUCUGUCAGAAGGGACGAAGAACGUGACGGUACCUUCAGAGGAAGCCAUGGCUAACUACGUGCCAGCAGCCGCGGUAAUACGUAGAUGGCGAGCGUUAUUCGGAUUUACUGGGCGUAAAGGGUCCGUAGGGGGUCUGCCAAGUCUGAUGUGAAAUCCUGCGGCUCAACCGCGGAACUGCAUUGGAAACUGGCGGACUAGAGUGUGCGAGGGGUGAGCGGAAUUCCUGGUGUAGCGGUGGAAUGCGUAGAUAUCAGGAAGAACACCGAUGGCGAAGGCGGCUCACUGGCGCAUCACUGACCCUGAGGGACGAAAGCGUGGGUAGCAAACAGGAUUAGAUACCCGAGUAGUC